CCCGAAGUAUCCUGAAUCUUUCGCAUUGUUAAUCAUACAAGUGCAUAUAAUAAACACAAAAAUCAAUGAUAAUUAUGCCAUUAUAUAAUUCCGAAAAAUUAACGCACUGUAAUCAUAUAAAUCUAUCAGCACUUUAUCAAAUUAAUAACAUUUAUUCUGUGUUAAAAUGCAAGCAAUUUAAUUGGAAUAAACUAUAAGUUAUAUUUUAUGAUAAAUUUGGUAUAUGCUAAUAGAUUACAAUGUCCUUAUAUGGAAAAAAUGCACACUAUUCUCAUAAUAUUAUUUAAAUAUUACAAUUUUAAUGAUGAAUUUUCCAUAACGGAUAUUCAGGUUCAUCGGGC
rnacentral:rRNA from 1 species